rnacentral:rRNA from 1 species
GAUCAUGGCUCAGGAUGAACGCUAGCUACAGGCUUAACACAUGCAAGUCGAGGGGAAACGACAUCGGAAGCUUGCUUUUGAUGGGCGUCGACCGGCGCACGGGUGAGUAACGCUUAUCCAACCUGCCCACCACUUGGGGAUAACCUUGCGAAAGUAAGACUAAUACCCAAUGACAUCCCACGAAGACAUCUGAAUGGGAUUAAAGAUUUAUCGGUGAUGGAUGGGGAUGCGUCUGAUUAG